CCGAUCGAUGACGAUGAACUGGCUUCCUACAUCACCGCCGGCCUCGACAUGGAGUACCAGCCUCUCAUCUCCGCCAACGACGCCCGCACCGAGCCCAUCAGCCUCGACGAUCUCUUUGCUCAGAUGAGCAGUUUUGACC
rfam:Triticum urartu cultivar G1812 contig1004049, whole genome shotgun sequence.